ensembl:lncRNA
UGCAAGGGAAACUCGCUGUGAGGGCCACCCGCCAUGCCCGCUUUGUGCACUUUGGCUUUUUUGUACCAGGACGUGCAGAUUACACUACUCAGAAAACAUGGAUGAACUUAUGCAAGACGACAGGGACGAGGCCUCAUAUGAAGGGUUCGCCCUUUUGCGUUACCACUGAGUUUAAGAUGGAUUUAAAGCAACAUAUCCCAAGGCUGCAUGCAAAGGAAUUCCACGUAAACUAUGCAUGAGCCCCGGAAAGUGUUCCAUCUGCACUGGUAGUCAGGCAACUGUGCCGACACAUCUGCGGCUGGUUUGGGAGCGGUGCAGCUGUGACCUCCGGUUUGAUCUGCAAAAGGGAGAACAUCUAAUGUGGCAUUCACCAUCUGCAGACGAGCAGGGGAGACGGGGGGGAGACGGUGAGAGAGGGAGGAAGAGCGGAAGACAAAGGAGGGGGGUUGGUCAACAGCAGGCGGCCAUGUUUUCGGGCUCCACAUGUUCAGGUAAAAAUUGAUUCAACAGGGAGAGAUUGAAGCCCACCAAGCCCUAAAAGUGCAACCAAAGGCUGAAUGAAAUGAUGUUCUAAUAAUUACAAUUUGGUUGUGCAGAAG